CAAGGGAAUCAGCAGUGAUAAACAUUGACAAUAAGCGACAGCUUGACCCAGUUAAAGUAAAAAGAGCCGGCUAAUCUGGUGCCAGCCGCCGCGUACACCACGUGGCUCAAAUGAUUUAUCGGCGUAAAGCGUGAUUAAAGUUCUCUUAAUUUGAGAAAAACUAAGCGUGACACGCUUGUUAGAACCAAAACGAAAGUACCCAACACUUGAAUCACGACAGCUGAAACAAACUGGGAUUAGAUACCCCACUAUGCUAGCCGUAAACUUUAAUACAUCCAUCGCCGGGAACUACGAGCAAAGCUUAAAACCCAAAGGACUUGACGGUACCCCAACCACUAGAGGAGCCUGUCCUAUAACGAUAACCCCGUUAACCUCACCCCUUUAGCCUAUCAGCCUGUAUACCUCCGUCGUCAGCUUACCACGUGAGCGCAUCUUAUGAGCUUAAUGUCCACACGCCAAAACGUCAGGUCAAGGUGCAGCACAUAGGGGGGAAGAGAUGGGCUACACUCUCUAAUUUAAAUACCGAAUGACUAUUAUGAAAACUAGUCUAAAGCGGAUUUAGAAGUAAAAAGAAACCACAGUGUUCUUUUUACCCGGCACUGGGGUGUGUACACACCCCGUCACCCUCUUCAAGCCCAACAAGUCUAUAACUAGCCUGUAAAGGCAAGUCUACGGUAA
rnacentral:rRNA from 1 species